rnacentral:rRNA from 1 species
CCUACGGGCGGCAGCAGUGGGGAAUAUUGCACAAUGGGGGAAACCCUGAUGCAGCGACGCCGCGUGAGUGAAGAAGUAUUUCGGUACGUAAAGCUCUAUCAGCAGGGAAGAAAAAAAGUCCUUUGGACUUUGGACGGUACCUGACCAAGAAGCCCCGGCUAAUUACGUGCCAGCAGCCGCGUUAAUACGUAGGGGGCAAGCGUUAUCCGGAUUUACUGGGUGUAAAGGGGGCGUAGACGGCAGCGCAAGUAUGGAGAGAAAUGCCGGGGUCCAACCCCGGAACUGCUUUGGAAACGGUGCAGCUGGAGUGCAGGAGAGGUAAGCGGAAUUCCUAGUGUAGCGGUGAAAUGCGUAGAUAUUAGGAGGAACACCAGUGGCGAAGGCGGCUUACUGGACUGUAACUGACGUUGAGGCUCGAAAGCGUGGGGAGCAAACAGGAUUAGAUACCCUAGUAGUC